rnacentral:misc_RNA from 1 species
GAUGAAGAACGUAGCGAAAUGCGAUAAGUAAUGUGAAUUGCAGAAUUCAGUGAAUCAUCGAAUCUUUGAACGCACAUUGCGCCCGCCAGUAUUCUGGCGGGCAUGCCUGUUCGAGCGUCAUUACAACCCUCAGGCCCCCGGGCCUGGCGUUGGGGAUCGGCGGAGCCCCCCGUGGGCACACGCCGUCCCCCAAAUACAGUGGCGGUCCCGCCGCAGCUUCCAUCGCGUAGUAGCUAACACCUCGCGACUGGAGAGCGGCGCGGCCACGCCGUAAAACACCCAACUCUUCUGAAGUUAACCUCGAAUCAGGUAGGAAUACCCGCUGAACUUAAGCAUAUCAAUAAGCGGAGGA